ensembl:lncRNA
UUUUUUUUUUUUUUUUUUUUUUUUGAGAUGGAGUCUCGCUCUAUUGCCCAGGCCAGAGUGCAGUGGGAUGAUUUCGGCUCACCACAGCCUCUGCCUCCUAGGUUCAAGUUAUUCUCCUGCCUCAGCCUCCCAAGUAGCUGGGACUACAGGCAUGUGCCACCAUGCCCGGCUAAUUUUUGUAGUUUUAGUAGAGGUGGGAUUUCACUAUGUUGGCCAGGAUGGUCUUGAACUCCUGAUCUCGUGAUCCGCCCGCCUCGGGGUCCCAAAGUGUUGGGAUUACAGGCGUGAGCCACCGCGCCCAGCCAUCUUUGAACAUUCUUAGGUGAGUCAGGAUAUUUAUCCAUCUUCCCCUCUUGGGUUAUUUGUCUUCGUGUUCCAGGAUGGGCACUUGAUCCAAUCAGCUACUCAGUUCUGGAAAUUUCAUUGGGAAUCUCAGAAAAGAGACAUGCUUCUUCUAGGAGAGUUGCUAAGCUAUUAGGGUUCAAGCUUGGAGCUACAAAAAGCCAUUUUGCCACUGAGAGAGGAGAGCCUGCCUGAGGGUGAAGCCAAAUGCACCGGGAAGGCAGAACCAGAGAUGGUGAGCCGCAGAACCAGAGAUGGUGAGCCACAGGUUCCUGAUCUCUUCUGGCCCCUGUGUUCACCUGUCUGGAAUCUGUCUGCUCUGGACUUUUCGAUUACUUGGGCCAUAGCUUCCUUUAUUGUUUAGGCCAGCUGGAGCUGGGUCAAUGAGAGACUGGAUGGGUGGAGGAUCUCACUGUGCUCAUGCUUUCCACUACCCUCCAUACUUUAAUUGUUCUCGAUUUCUCUAACUGGCCUUGAUGUCUCUUCUGAUCUCCAGACCACAUGCCCACAGAUGUCCCAAAAGCACGUCUGAAAUUGACCUCAUUAUUAUUGUUGUUACUAUUUUUGAGACAGAGUCUCGCUCUUUUGCCCAGGCUGGCAAUGGCAGUCUUGGCUCACUGCAACUUCCGCCUUCCGGGUUCAAGCGAUUCUCCUGCCUCAGCCUGCUCCCAAGUAGCUGGGAUUACAGGCGCCUGCCACCACGCCCAGCUAAUUUUUUUUUGUAUUUUUAGUACAGACGGAGGUUUCACCAUGUUGGUCAGGCUGGUCUCAAACUCCUGACCUCAAGUGAUCACCGCGCCCGGCCCUGACCUCAUUAAUUCUUUUUUUUUUUUUUUGAUAGGGAGUCUAGCUCUGUUGCCGGGCUGGAGUGCCCUGGCGCCAUUUCGGCUCACCGCAAUCUCUGCCUCCCGGGUUCAAGCUAUUCUCCUGCCUCGGCCUCCCGAGGGGCUGGGACUACAGGCGCGCGCCACCACGCCCGGCUAACUUUUGUAUUUUUAGUAGAGACAGGGUUUCACUAUGUUGGCCAGGCUGGUCUCGAACUCCUGACCUCGUGAUCCACUCGCCUCGACCUCCCAAAGUGCAGGGAUUACAGGCGUGAGCCACCGCGCUCUGAUCUCAUUAUUUCUACCUCCCAUCUUCAUUUCCAGUUUCAGAGAUACAAACUCCCGGACCGCCUGCCUCUCCUCAGAUAAACCAAGGUCGUUAAGUUCAGGCUCCGCC